AGUGAACGCUGGCGGUAGGCCUAACACAUGCAAGUCGAACGGCAGCACAGUAAGAGCUUGCUCUUACGGGUGGCGAGUGGCGGACGGGUGAGGAAUACAUCGGAAUCUACUUUUUCGUGGGGGAUAACGUAGGGAAACUUACGCUAAUACCGCAUACGACCUACGGGUGAAAGCAGGGGAUCUUCGGACCUUGCGCGAUUGAAUGAGCCGAUGUCGGAUUAGCUAGUUGGCGGGGUAAAGGCCCACCAAGGCGACGAUCCGUAGCUGGUCUGAGAGGAUGAUCAGCCACACUGGAACUGAGACACGGUCCAGACUCCUACGGGAGGCAGCAGUGGGGAAUAUUGGGCAAUGGGCGAAAGCCUGAUCCAGCAAUGCCGCGUGGGUGAAGAAGGCCUUCGGGUCGUAAAGCCCUUUUGUUGGGAAAGAAAAGCAGCAGGUUAAUACCUCGCUGUUCUGACGGUACCCAAAGAAUAAGCACCGGCUAACUUCGUG
rnacentral:rRNA from 1 species